UUUUCUGGAAGAAGAAAAAAUAUUAAACCGGUUCACAAUCACACACCACAUUCUCUACGUGGCAAAACCGGUUCACUAACAAGUGAACCGGUUUUGCCCUAAACCCCCACUCACGCCCCGACCCUCCCCCGACCCUCUCUUCAGAAGGUCAUCUUCCCCCUCUUCUCUUCAGCGGCGAGACCUUCAUCUCCCCAUCAGCCGGUUCUUCAUCUGGUCUGAGUCCACCUUCCCUCUUCUGCAGCGUGCUUCAUCCCUCUCGACCACCCCGCAUCCAGAGAUCUGCGGAAGAGAACAGAAGUCCAGAGCUGCGGCCACAGAGGACUUUUCCUCACUCAGAAUUCUUCUUUAUUCAGAAAUGGAGAAGGGCAAUGGAGAAGUUUCUAUUACUUUCGCCAUCGUUAGCCUCACCUUGAUGCUGUUUCGUGUCCUGUAUGUUAUAUACUGGAGUGGCAAACCUCUUCGAACAGAAGCUCCAGGAGCUCUCAGUACCCUCAUUAUUUUAGGUUCAGGGGGUCACACGGCUGAGAUGAUUAAUCUGUUGUUGGUGCUGCAAAAAGAGAGGUUCAGUCCUAGAUUCUACAUUGCUGCUGCUACUGAUAAUAUGAGCCUCCAAAAAGCUCGCACGCUGGAGAACAACUUGGUUGAUGAGGUUUGUCAACAAAAGUUUCUUUUUUGAAAUGGUUUCUACUGCAGAAUGGGGUCAAGGAGGUUCAAACUGCUCGGUUCAUGCAGAUCUAUCGAAGUAGGGAAGUUGGUCAAUCAUAUUUCACCUCUGUGUGGACAACUUUAGUUGCUAUGGCUCAUGCACUCUGGUUAAUGACUAAAAUUAGACCCCAAGUGAUUCUCUGCAAUGGGCCAGGGACUUGUGUUCCACUAUGUGCUAUUGCGUUCUUUUUCAAGGUUGUGGGGGUUAGAUGGUCAUCUGUUUUCUACGUCGAGAGUAUAGCAAGAGUGAGAAGGCUCUCAUUAAGUGGCUUGCUUCUUUACAAGUUAAGAAUAGCUGAUCAGUUCUUUGUGCAGUGGCCACAACUGCAGAGACAAUAUCCACGAGCUCACUAUGUUGGUUGUCUCAUGUAGUUUAUCUAAUGCAGCUGUCAACAUUGGUAUUAUCUCUUCAACCUCCAAGUUUUGCAAUGCAGUCAAGAUUGUCGAAGUUUAUCUAUAGCCUAUCUAUGUUCUCUUUGCCCAACUAGAGUUGCUCACUAGAUGUGUAUGGUAAUGUGAACUUUAAUUGUUUCGUGAAUUGAAGCCAUGAGGAAGAGGGAUAACUACUUUUCUGCUGUACGUUUGAUAACCCAGAGUGCAAAAAAUUUAUGAUUUCAGUUUUAAUCUCUAUCAUUUUGAAAAGAA